AGUGAACGCUGGCGGUAGGCCUAACACAUGCAAGUCGAACGGCAGCACAGUAAGAGCUUGCUCUUACGGGUGGCGAGUGGCGGACGGGUGAGGAAUACAUCGGAAUCUACUUUUUCGUGGGGGAUAACGUAGGGAAACUUACGCUAAUACCGCAUACGACCUACGGGUGAAAGCAGGGGAUCUUCGGACCUUGCGCGAUUGAAUGAGCCGAUGUCGGAUUAGCUAGUUGGCGGGGUAAAGGCCCACCAAGGCGACGAUCCGUAGCUGGUCUGAGAGGAUGAGCGGCCACACUGGAACUGAGACACGGUCCAGACUCCUACGGGAGGCGGCAGUGGGGAAUAUUGGACAAUGGGCGCAAGCCUGAUCCAGCCAUACCGCGUGGGGGAAGAAGGCCUUCGGGUUGUAAAGCCCUUUUGUUGGGAAAGAAAAGCAGCGGGUUAAUACCCCGCUGUUCUGACGGUACCCAAAGAAUAAGCACCGGCUAACUUCGUG
rnacentral:rRNA from 1 species